CUGCUGGCAAUUAUGGUGACGUGUACUAGCGUGCGCAGGCCCUGCACAGUGCAGAGACGCAACGCAGACGAUGCCCAGGCUGCCCUGAAGAGGACGCUGCUGCUCUGUCUGAUGAUAUUCUCUUCAAAAUAAGCAUUCUGUUUGUUAACAUAAUCUCUCUAGUCUGAGUGGACAGCGGUAACUCCGAGGUUCAGCAUCACCAGACAGCUGAGGUCUCAGAUAAUCCAACUCUGUGGAGAAUCCCUGGACAUAAAUCCAGUAAAGCUUAACCAGAAGUAAGACGUCUAGAGGCCUGGAAGCAUAGAAUUAUCCACAUUAGGAUGGAUGGAAGGAGCGAGGACACUUAUCACAGCAUAUCAAGCUACCCUGGAUCGUCAUUCUGAUUGUGCUGCCAAGACAGAGAAGAGAGGAAGGUGAGAAUGAAUUGGUUAACAAUCAAGCAACAACUGCCUGUUUGUUUGUUAACGAAUAUUGUACAGAUUUGUUUCCCACACCCUCGGGUGUAAA